rnacentral:lncRNA from 1 species
GGAGGUUUUAACAUCACAGCUGAGCUACUCUAUCCAUAAAUUCAUGAUCAUGCGUGAGAAACCAUGAGGGAGUAGCUGCUGCAAAGCUCGGAAGAUGAUGUGACAAGAGACCAAAUUUCAUCAACAACACCCUGAGAGGAGCCAGUGGGCCAAAGGGAACAGCAGGGGAAACCCCUACCACUUAACGCAGAAAAUGCUCAUAACAGCUCCACCUCUACAUUUGUCACAUCUGCUGCAAAAUACUUCAUCAGGCUGAAAG